AAUGCGGGGGGAAAGUUGUUGUUUUUUACCCAGACAUUUCAAAAUAAUACAUUUUAGAGCUAUAAUUGCAAUACCGCAAUACCGUUGAACCGUGGUAUUUUAGCUGAAGGUUAUCAUACAUUCAGAAUCU